UAAAAGAAAAGGAAAUGAAAACGAAAACAGAGAAGAAACAGGGGAGAAAGAAGAAAGAAAAGGGGAAAUAGGGUUUAUGAAGCUUGGAGUUAAUUGCCAACAAAGAACCUGAAGCAUCAGCAUCGAAAGGAAAGGAGAAAGUCAUCGAGGACUAAAACGGGAGAAUUACGGUUAGUAGAAGUCAAGUGUCCCGGCUCAGUAUCCAGAACAAUCUCGACUCCAACACAAACUUGGUGAUGUAUAUUUUUCUUUUGGGUAAAGGUGGCAUGUACAUAGGUGUUAUUUAGUCACUUGAAUAUGUAUAUUACUUUGGGUAGUGAAGGAUGAAUUAUAAAAUUUAGAUGGUUAAAUGAAA